GUUUAUACUGCCGAAGCAGUAAUCUUUUCGAUGGUAUGAAAUCAUAGAAGACAGUGGACUGCCACAUUACGAUUUUGGAUUGUAGGUAUAGCACUACAAGUAUAACAGUAAAAAUUAUGUUACAAGUGUCCGUCGAUUUGUUAAAAAUGCAUUACGCCUAACAUACCGUUAUGAUUUACUUAUCAUCACAGACCGGAUUUAUAUGUUCU